CCUGGUUUAAUACUGAGUAUAGCAAGAGAUUUCCGAUUUCCUAUCUGCUUGCCAUUUGAGUCAUAAAUAGAACAAAAAUAAUGUCUGUCCAGAAUCCUGCCAAUCUAGGUCUAAAAUCAUCAAGAUAGGUCCAAAUACUUUAAUCCUUGCACCAGGUGUUAUCAACUCAGGUGUUAUCAGCUUCUUCGUAGUUCUUGGUCGAAUCAUGAGGGCAUGUGAAGUUGAUGGAUGAGUCAAUU